rnacentral:rRNA from 1 species
UACGAGAGGCCCAAACGUUAUUCGGAAUUACUGGGCUUAAAGAGUUCGUAGGCGGCAUGAAAAGUAGGGUGUGAAAGCCCUCGGCUCAACCGAGGAAUUGCGCUCUAAACUACUGUGCUUGAGGAAGCUAGAGGUGAGCAGAACAGAUGGUGGAGCGGUGAAAUGCGUUGAUAUCAUCUGGAAUACCGGAGGCGAAGGCGGCUCACUGGGGCUUUUCUGACGCUGAGGAACGAAAGCCAGGGUAGCGAACGGG